ensembl:lncRNA
CAAGAGGCAACAGGAGGAGCCCUCACCACCCACAGAAGCUGCAUGACACAUUCACAGCCACCAAGCGUGUCACCGGGAAGUCCCAUCUCAGUCCCAGCCAGGAGGUGGGGCAGCAGGCACAUCCCCCAUGGGCACAGUGAGAGUGCCUUCCUGGGACCAAAGGGACACUCAGCUGCCACCCCAGGCUGGCACCAGCCCAGCCCAGGGAUACCAGGCACAGCCAUUGAAGAAAAGGGGCUCAUCAGCCUUCACCCCCUCAACGGGGGCCCCCUGGGAAGGAGGGGUGCGGGCAGGGCUGACCACAGGGUGGGGACACCUCGGAGGUCAGAGAGCACGGGGCCCAGGCCUGAGUGUGCACUUGCACAGCCAUGGAGGUGGGGACGCGAAGCUGGGGGCCGUUUCCGUGCUUCGAGCCCCGCCCUGAGCGUCCCCGCGGCCGUCGCCUCUCGCUCCCCUCCUCAGGCAGCCCACCGGAAGCCGUGGCGUACCGCCUUCCUGCCCACCUCUUCC